AUCCAUAGCCAGCCUACCCUACACAUGCCCAGUCUCAUGUGACCUUGGAAACUAAGCAAGGUCAAGUCUAGCUAAACCUUUGAUGGGAAAUGCUAGACUUGUGUGGUUU
rnacentral:rRNA from 1 species